rnacentral:ncRNA from 1 species
AAAAGAUUUUUGAUUAUUAUGUUAGCUGAAUUUCUAUAAAUUAUUAUAUAAAUAGAUUAAAUAGAUUUAGAUUUUAAAUAAAUUAUAUUAAUAUUAAAUGAUUUUUAUAGUUAUUAUAUUUUUAUAAUUUAAUGCGAGUUAGAGAAAGUAAUAGAAUAUAUCUCAUAUGUUAUCAAAAAAGUGCCAGCAGUCGCGGUUAGUCUUUGUCAUAAAGUUAACAAAUUUCUAAUUAAUAAAAAUAGCUAGUUAAAUCAAAGUUCAUUAAAUAUGAUAAUAUUGUUGGUGGAAUAAAAAAUAUUAUUAAUAGAAAAGAGCUUUUAUAAUUAUCUUUAAUUUUUUAAGGAAUUUAGUAAUAACUAGGAUUAGAUACCCUACUAAUUUUCUGAAAAAUUAUUUUUUUUAAUAUUAAAUGUGAACCAUUAAAUUAAUUUAAUAUGGCGGUUUUCUAAAAUAUUAGGGGAACCUGUGAAGUAAUUUGAUGAACCACAAUAAGGUCAACUUUUUAUUAAACUUUAUAUAUCGCCAUUUUUAGGGAUUAUUUAAAAAUAAUUUUCUACUUUUAGGAGAAAAUCCGGCUUAUUUAGAGCAGGAAUUUAGGUAAGAUGUAGGUUUAAAAAGGUGUAAUGGGUUACAUUAAAAAUUUUUUUCUGUGAAACUUGAAUUUUUAAUUUCUCUGGUGAAAAUGGACUUAAUAGUAAAUUUAAUAAAUUUUUUAAUUUGAAAAAGAAUCUAGGAUUCGUACAAAUCGCCCGUCAAUCUCAACAAAAUUGAGGUAAGUCGAAACAAAGUAGAGGUACCGGAAGGUGUUUCUAGAAUUAU